rnacentral:rRNA from 1 species
UAUAGAGGUCUCGAGCGUUGUUCGGAUUCAUUGGGCGUAAAGGGUGCGUAGGUGGCGCCGUAAGUCGGGUGUGAAAUUUCGGAGCUUAACUCCGAAACUGCAUUUGAUACUGCGGUGCUUGAGGACUGGAGAGGAGACUGGAAUUUACGGUGUAGCAGUGAAAUGCGUAGAGAUCGUAAGGAAGACCAGUGGCGAAGGCAGGUCUCUGGACAGUUCCUGACGCUGAGGCACGAAGGUCAGGGGAGCAAACGGG